ACACACAUACACACAUUAACAUCGUUUUACACACCCACACAAACACACACUCAUACACACAUUCACACUUACAUACAUGUGCAAUAAAAAGCGAGACACAAAGUUAAGUGCAUUAUAAUUGAAUUUAUAGAUUUUAAGAAGAAUUUAAACCGAUUAUUAUUAUUAUUAUAAUGAGUAAUCUAACACAGUGCAUAUGUAUUUAUUCACUAAUCAUAUAAACAUCAUAAUAUAUAUAAAAGGAAAAUAUAUAUACUGCAAGUUUAUUUCGUUGAGAUUCAACUACGUAUCAGUCAGUUACACUGCAUAUAUCAUAUCAUCAUCUAUAUACACCCCCACUCACACACUCUCAAACUCUUAUACACACACAAAUACACGUAUAUUGCAAAUUUAGCCAAGUCAGAAUGAAAAUUUUAAAGAAAACCAAAUACAAAGCUAAAUGUAUUGCGUUCUCGAACUAAAUGUGUUUUGAGUCAAAUUUUUACUUCAAAUACAAGAAAAAACCAACAAAAACAAAAAAACAAAAAAAUAUUAUAAAAUAAAAAACCAAGCAGUAAAUAGCAAAACAAAAAGAAACACUGAAAAUAUUUGGGGAUACUUUCUAUAUAUGUAUUGGGUGUGAAACAACAUGGAAACAUGAAAACAAAACAAAAAGUAAAACAGAAUUAAACACAAUUUUUGAAUUCAUUAAAUAAAGGUAUGUGUUUAGAUAUAUUCAAAACAAAAUGCAAACAGAUGUUUUAUUUUUGAAAGUGGAUCAGCAUCGGCAAGGCAAGUGCCAGAGUCUUUGAGACCUACAAUACCCUGUACCUAGAAGCCAUUGAAAAUUAUGGAAAUUAUUGAAGCAAUUAUGGUUUCGCUGAGGGGUAACAAAUAGCAGAAGUCGUAACAGACCUUGUUUUGCUCUAUCGUAGUAUUGUAGAUCAAACUAAAAUAUUUAAAUCCAGGCGAACAGCUAAAUCGAUAUAAAAUCUCUAAUCUACUAUAGGUCUUUGAGUCCUUAGCACUUUAAUAUCAAAUAUGGAAUAUUUAUCAAGCUAAGAUAAAGACAAUUAAUGCUAGGUCCUACAUUUGAAGUGAAACGAACAUAUAUUUUUCAUUAAUAAUCAGUAGCAGCACGCGACAGGGUAUCCGCUAGUCGAUGCACGUUUUGCAAUCUAGCUCAUUCUUAAGAACUCGUAUAUGCACUCUGCUGAAUUUUCCGUUUUGAGCUGCGGUUGACAUUUUGCAAUUUCAGUUCAUUUGAAUUCCAAUAAUUUUUUUUUUACUGCUGCAAUGUUAUUCAAAUUGAAAUGAAACCAGUUUUUGUAAAACUUUAAUAUUGCGCCAUGGUAUAAAUACUUUUCAUGCCAAUUUGAUAAUUGAAUUGGCACUUGACGUGGUUAAUCGAGUAUGUUAAGCCAUUUAAUUGCCCUAUAACUAUGUCCAUUUCGUACGCUAGGCCUUGACAAUAUUUUUGGAAACAAAAAAACUAACAUAUUUUCUAUUCAUAUUUCAAGUUCAUAUUUUUUUUAGUCAUGAACCAUUCAUAAAAUAACAACAAUAAAUAUAAAAUGUGCCAAAAAAACAAAAAGCUUUGUUUCAUUCAUAAACAAAACGUUAAGAGAAUGAAUAGAGGAAGAGAGAGAGAGAGAGAGAGAGAGAGAGAGAAAAUUGGGAGAGAAAGGUAGACAGACCAGUGUUGCCAGCUUCGCCUAUUUCAGGCUAGAUCUAGCCAAUAGCUUUAUGUUAUGUUAUGUUAUGUUAUAGUGUACCUGAGAUAUGAAGUAUAUCAACAUAUAGCUUUAUCAAUCAUACAUAUAUAUUAGCCAAUAUAACUGCUUCUAUGUCCUCUGUCUAUCUCACAGAAUUAUGUCUGUUUGUCUGUCUGCCUAACAAUAGCAGGGACCGAAGAACAACUACCGAAGAUCAUUCAUUUCGUGUUUCUAUUUAAGUAAAACGAAGUUAGAAUGCAUGCAGUAGCCGAGGGUGUUCCGAUUGGUCACUUAAAGGCCGACGGGAGCGACUCUUACCUGGCGUCGGGCUCAACAUUUGAGAGCGAAUUAGUGUUUGAGUGGAAGUCGCCCUAUAUAAAGGGCUGCAGCUGCAGCAUUUCUUCAGUCGCCCAUUAACCACUCAGAGGAAAGACAGCGGAAAUACUUGGAGGAAAUACUAGAUGGGGCAACUAUAAAAAAGCUGGCAUCACUGAGGUAGGCACACAUACAGAGUGAGACAGAAAGAGAGGCAGAGCGGGAGCAUUGUUUGCAUUUAUAAACAGUUUGCACUACUAUAACAUUUGAUAAUGUACUAUUAGCAUUUUUGAUUGAAAUAUGUGAUAGUCGUUGGGGUCUGCGAUUUGUUAACACAGCUGAUUGCGUCGAUAAGGCGGGCGGCGAGCAUGACUAUCGUACACUAUGCCAAAAGCACGUGUCGAGCUACAAUGUGAAGCGCAAACGAUUCGGGAGAAGGCUAAAAACCCCAAGCUGCGGCUCCCCAUGAGGAAAAUCCAAUUUCCAUCGCAUUGUUAUUCUAAUGACUUGUCAGAUAUGAAAGUGAUUAAAUAAAUAUCCGGCUCCAAACCGGUUCCGUAUAACUA